UACGAAGGGGGCUAGCGUUGUUCGGAAUUACUGGGCGUAAAGCGCGCGCAGGCGGCUAUCCAAGUCAGUGGUGAAAGCCCGGAGCUUAACUCCGGAACUGCCAUUGAAACUGUUUAGCUUGAGGACGAGAGAGGUGAGUGGAAUUCCCAGUGUAGAGGUGAAAUUCGUAGAUAUUGGGAAGAACACCAGUGGCGAAGGCGAGUCUCUGGACAUUUCCUGACGCUGAGGCACGAAGGCCAGGGGAGCAAACGGG
rnacentral:rRNA from 1 species